rnacentral:rRNA from 1 species
AACGAACGCUGGCGGCAGGCUUAACACAUGCAAGUCGAACGGUUGCAGCAAUGCAGCAGUGGCAGACGGGUGAGUAACACGUGGGAACCUUCCUAGGGGUACGGAACAACUCAGGGAAACUUGAGCUAAUACCGUAUACGUCCGUGAGGAGAAAGAUUUAUCGCCCUUAGACGGGCCCGCGUCGGAUUAGCUAGUUGGUGGGGUAACGGCCUACCAAGGCGACGAUCCGUAGCUGAUCUUAGAGGAUGAUCAGCCACACUGGGACUGAGACACGGCCCAGACUCCUACGGGAGGCAGCAGUGGGGAAUCUUGGACAAUGGGCGCAAGCCUGAUCCAGCCAUGCCGCGUGAGUGAAGAAGGUCUUCGGAUUGUAAAGCUCUUUUGCCAGGGACGAUAAUGACGGUACCUGGAGAAUAAGCCCCGGCAAACUUCGUGCCAGCCGCCGCGGUAA